UACGUAGGAGGCAAGCGUUGUCCGGAAUUACUGGGCGUAAAGCGCGUGUAGGUGGUGGGACAAGUCUGCUGUGAAAGCGCCUGGCUUAACCGGGCGAGGUCGGCGGAAACUGUCGCACUCGAGGACGGUAGAGGGGGGUGGAAGUUCCCGGUGUAGUGGUGAAAUGCGUAGAGAUCGGGAGGCAACACCUGUGGCGAAGGCGGCCCCCUGGGCCGGCCC
rnacentral:rRNA from 1 species